AGUGAACGCUGGCGGUAGGCCUAACACAUGCAAGUCGAACGGCAGCACAGGAGAGAUUGCUCUCUGGGUGGCGAGUGGCGGACGGGUGAGGAAUACAUCGGAAUCUACCUUUUCGUGGGGGAUAACGUAGGGAAACUUACGCUAAUACCGCAUAAGACCUACGGGUGAAAGGGGGGGACCGCAAGGCCUCAAGCGAUUAGAUGAGCCGAUGUCCGAUUAGCUAGUUGGCGGGGUAAUGGCCCACCAAGGCGACGAUCGGUAGCUGGUCUGAGAGGAUGAUCAGCCACACUGGAACUGAGACACGGUCCAGACUCCUACGGGAGGCAGCAGUGGGGAAUAUUGGACAAUGGGCGCAAGCCUGAUCCAGCCAUACCGCGUGGGUGAAGAAGGCCUUCGGGUUGUAAAGCCCUUUUGUUGGGAAAGAAAUCCUGUCGAUUAAUACUCGGUGGGGAUGACGGUACCCAAAGAAUAAGCACCGGCUAACUUCGUGCCAGCAGCCGCCGUAAGAC
rnacentral:rRNA from 1 species